AGAUUUAUUUUCUAAAGCAAACAACCCCUCCUUAGUUUAAACAAAAUAUCAGAUUUGCACUUUGAAG
rnacentral:tRNA from 1 species